UACGAAGGGGGCUAGCGUUGCUCGGAAUCACUGGGCGUAAAGGGUGCGUAGGCGGGUCUUUAAGUCAGGGGGGAAAUCCUGGAGCUCAACUCCAGAACUGCCUUUGAUACUGAAGAUCUUGAGUUCGGGAGAGGUGAGUGGAACUGCGAGUGUAGAGGUGAAAUUCGUAGAUAUUAGGAAGAACACCAGUGGCGAAGGCGGCUCACUGGUCCGGUACUGACGCUGAGGUGCGAAAGCGUGGGGAGCAAACAGG
rnacentral:rRNA from 1 species